ACUCAGUUCUCAUAUCAAUGCGAUAUAAAAAAUUGCUUUUAAGUUGGAACUUUUCCAAGUUGAAUACUCGACUUGAACUUCUCAUCUUGUUCGAUAUAUGUUAUCAUACUAGCGGGUAUACCCCGCCCUUAGUCCUCGUGAGCUUGAAUCAAAUUACACAAAUAUUUGAGGAUACCAUUUUCACAAGAAAAUUGACCAGGAAUAAUGUUGCCAGUCUAAGAUGCCAAAUGAAUCUUAAAGCCAAGCCGCGAAGAAAGAGCUAAACCACGUACAAAUCUGAUAAGAUUUGACCGAGUUAUGGGGGUGUGAAAUUUAGACCUAUGUUUAUAUAGGAUAUUUGAGGGCAUAAUUUUCACAUGAAUUUCGGCCUAAAAUAAUGUUGCCAGAUUUAAAUGUCAAAUUGAUCCGGAUGCCAAAUAAUGUAAAAAGUCCCAACCUUUGUGAAAAACAGAUGAGAUUUUACCGAGCUAUGCGGGUGGGAAAUUUUGACCAAUGUCUACAUAAAAUAUUUUAGGGAACUCUUCACUAUAAAAACGACAAAUCGCAUUUGUUAGUGUUGCCAAGUUCUACAGAAUAGAAGGCAACCCCUACCAUUGUUGGUAAAUCAAUUUUACACACGAUAUGACAUUUUUGUUAGCAUUAAAAAUGCAGCAUUUAAAAUUUUCAGGUUUUUAUUUUGUUUCUUGCAUUUGUAUUUUGAGUUUUUUUUUUUUUUUGUAUUUUAAGCAUAUUUUUGUCAGACAUUUACAGAUCCAGCCAUAUUACAUUAAUUAAACUUGAUACAUUUAUUAUAAAUAUUGGAAAAUGGCAUAUAUAUUUUGUUUUUUGUAAUAUUUGUUGUUAAGUGUAACUUGGAAAGAACGUUAUAAAUAUUA